rfam:Chloroflexi bacterium RBG_16_54_18 RBG_16_scaffold_723, whole genome shotgun sequence.
CGGGGCGUGGCUCAGCCCGGUUAGAGCGCGCGGUUCGGGUCCGCGAGGACGGCGGUUCAAAUCCGCCCGCCCCGA